rnacentral:lncRNA from 1 species
UAAACCCAACAUUCUCUACCUAGAUAGCAAAAUUACAAUAAGUACAUUGGCGAUCUUCAGUAGAUAGAUUUCUUGAUUUCUUCACACUUGCUUCCAUUAUGGAAUUUUCCCAAACACUUUGCCUAAUGGAAUUUUCUCAAACACUUUGCCUUUAUAUUUUUCCACCUCAAACCAUGUAUCCAUCAAACUUCACGAUUCUUCUUUUUUCCAAUACGAGCCUUAGCCCGUACACACAUUGUGCUCCGAUACCAAUUGAAGGGUUCUUAGGAACUGCUAGCUUGCAUAGCCGGGAAUCCUAAAUAUCAGGAUCACAUCCAAGAUCGUGUACAUAAUUAGCUAAAUGCGAAGUAAAUGGAUACAACUAUAAAUCGAGUGUAAGAAAUAAAGCAAACAUAAAAUACAUACUACAACAACACACAAUUUACAUGGUUCAAAUCAUAAGGCUACAUCCAUGGCUUCAGCAAGUAGAAAUUUAUUAUCUCAAUGACGAUUACAGUUUUGGUUUACAAGAGAUAAUACAUGUCUCUAACCAUCAGUAAAAGACCAUCACCGAUCUUUCUUUCUAAACUCGUUCUCCCGACCGAAAAACACUAUCGAUCAAUACUUUUUUUCCCACCGCAAUAUUACUACCGAAAAGAUAACUUCGAGAGCAACCGAUAUAUUUUCUCUCUCUAGAAGUGGAAGCUUUACCAACCAAAAACUGAUGAGAAUACCACCUGACCAAUCUCUAUCUUAAAGAUCCAUUCCUAUAACCGCCAAAGGGGUGACCUUCAAAAGAAUAUAAUAUUAUGUCUUCAUUGAGUAUCUUAUAUAGAUAUCACUUUCUUGCUUCUCAAGAAAGUCCAUUUUUAUUUAUCAUAAUACCCUUAAUCUUUAGAAGAAAAAUAUGGGUAUGGUAAUUUAGAAUAUUGUAAUGCAUUUUAGAAAUCUACUAUCUCAAUGAAUAUUAUAGUUUUUUUUAUUACAGGAGAUAAUACCUAUCUCUAAGCAUUGGUAAAAGACCAUCGCCGAUCUUUCUUUCUAAACUCGCUCGCUCGACAGAGAAACACCAUCGAUUAAUAACUUUUCCCACCGCAAUACCACUACUGAAAAGAUAACAUUGAGAACAACCGAUAGAUUUUCUCUCUCUAGAAGUGGAAGCUUUACCAACCCAAAACUCAUGGGAAUACCACUUGACCAAUCUCCAUCUUGAAGAUCUAUUCCCAUAACAUCUCCAUCUUGAAGAUCCAUUCUUAUAACCCUCAAAAGAGGGACCUUCUAAAAGAUAAGAUAUUAUGUCUUCAUUGAAUCUUUUAUAUGUGAGAAAUUGUAUGUUUGUAUAAUUGGGCCUUAAACCCCCAUGAAGAUGUAUUAUUGAGUUUAUCAAAGAUGUGAACAAGAGCCCCAAUUUAUAGGGUUACAAAUUUAUGUACUACUAAAGAAACUAACAUAUGUAAAGGAAUAUAUUGUUCCUAAACUAACAUAUUGUUCCUAAACAUCAGUGCAUGUUUCUAUAUUUUUAUACUCCCCCUCAUAGCUUAAGUUUGAACAAUUGAAGGUAGGCGUUAGUAAGAAAGCAGGAACAUAAGAAGCUUGAGCAGUUGCAAAUUAGCGAUCCUCAUAAACCUAUAUCUCGAACAGAGCAAUCUCGCAUAACAGCAAAUCAACAGGCAUUUGAAAUAGACAUGAUCGAGUAAACUUGAUCAUCACACAAGAUGAAGUAACGGAAAACUUGAUCAUCAACCAAGAUCAAUAAAUUCGAUCAUCAAACAUGAGGCACUUGACAGAGCUAACAGAAAUCAGCAGGGGAUCAACAAGCACUGUUGGACCUUAGAUUCGGAAUAGAGAACAUUAAGAUCUAAACACAGAUCAGAGAAUUGAAACACGACUCGACAGACAGAUCAUAGAGUCGAAAUACAACUCGGCAGAGAGACUGGUCAGAUAGUCGAAACACAACUCAGUAGAGAGACAAAUCAAAUAGGCGAAACACGACUCGGUAGUUGUUUUACAGAUGGUACAGAUUGGCCGUUUUCAUAUACCAUUUUCAAAUGUGGGUUUCAAAUCUAGCUCACCAAAGUUCCGACAUCAAAGGGGAGAUUGGUCGCAAAGGGACUCGAAAACCUUAUGAAUGCAAUAGUAACAGCAAAUACUGGAAGCAAAUACGGAGAAGGCUAGAGAGAGGUACAUCACUUUUGUACCAAAUAAAGUAGAAAAGGUAGAGAGAGAAAUAAGAGAUGGAACCCUUUAGUGGUACUGACAGCAUGAAUUGGAGUACUUUCAAAUACUUUGCAUCUGCAACUCCAGCCAUCUCUUGGAUGUUGAUUACCAAAACAUAUUUUCACCAACACUCCACAAAAAGAAAUGAUCCGAGAUAAGAGAAAACCCUGGUGAGAUAAGAGGGCAAAACAAAUUUGCAUGAUAUACAGGAAAAUUCAAUUAAUGAGUAUGUGAGUGUCCCGUCAAUCUCUAGUCUCUGAGCAUCGUAUCCAAAUUAAACACCAACAAAUAUUCAAAGUGAGAGAGAGAGUAAACUAGAGAGAGAAACAUAGCACGUUCUAGUGAGAGGGAAAAUUCUUCCCUGCCAUCACCCAGGCUUCGCGAUCAGAACAUGGUUGCCCCAUAUACAUCAGAUGCCGCCAUACCAGACCCACUUCUCCUCUCAAUGCGUGGCCUGCUGGGAGCUGAGCAGAGAAAGAGUUGUAUCCCCAAGGCCCGAACAUAAGGCCCAAACUGAUGAGAGAGAACUACUACAAGAAGAACGAAAUACAGAUAAGAGGAGCUGCCGAGUAGAGAACAUAAGGCCCAAAACGAUUGGAGAAGAGCCAAACUGAGAUCAGAGAAGUAUGAGAGGUGAAAUAGAGUUUUCACAUAUCACAGAGAAUACACAGAUCGUAUAAAACCUCGUUUUGAUAUCAUGUGAGAAAUUGUAUUUCUGUAUAAUUGAGUUUUUCAAAGUUUAUCAAAGAUGUAAACAAGAGCCCUAAUUUAUAAAAUUACAAAGUUGUGUAUUACUAAAAAAACGAACAUAUGAAAUGAACCACUUUUUUAAUAUGGGUACAUAUAAAAAGAAAU